rnacentral:rRNA from 1 species
AUUAGAGUUUGAUCCUGGCUCAGAUUGAACGCUGGCGGCAUGCCUUACACAUGCAAGUCGAACGGCAGCAUGAUCUAGCUUGCUAGAUUGAUGGCGAGUGGCGAAGGGGUGAGUAAUACAUCGGAACGUGCCCUGUAGUGGGGGAUAACUAGUCGAAAGAUUAGCUAAUACCGCAUACGACCUGAGGGUGAAAGUGGGGGACCGCAAGGCCUCAUGCUAUAGGAGCGGCCGAUGUCUGAUUAGCUAGUUGGUGGGGUAAAGGCCCACCAAGGCGACGAUCAGUAGCUGGUCUGAGAGGACGAUCAGCCACACUGGGACUGAGACACGGCCCAGACUCCUACGGGAGGCAGCAGUGGGGAAUUUUGGACAAUGGGCGAAAGCCUGAUCCAGCAAUGCCGCGUGUGUGAAGAAGGCCUUCGGGUUGUAAAGCACUUUUGUCCGGAAAGAAAUGGCUCUGGUUAAUACCUGGGGUCGAUGACGGUACCGGAAGAAUAAGGACCGGCUAACUACGUGCCAGCA